rnacentral:lncRNA from 1 species
UUUGGUAGGCUUAUAUUAUAUUGUUUGUAAACUUAUAUCAGAAUGAGUCUGCUAGUUCAAGUGGUAAGGUGUUAGCUUGCCUUGAGGUCUUGUGUUUGAAUCCUGUGUGAGCGUGGAUGCUAAUUUUUGCUCUUAUGAGUGUUUCGGUGGUAUAGUAGAGGUUCAGUGGAAGUGGAAGUCUGUGGUAAUGGAUGAGAGUAAUUGGUUAGUUUUGGGAGGAUUUUUUAGUUAGUGGGAUAAUGGGGAGUUGGGAUAAUCUUUUUUAUUAUUUUUAUUUUCUUUUUAUUUUAUUUUUCCUCUCUCCUAAAAUCAAUCAGUUCUUUUAACAUAUUUUUCUUUGGGUUUUCUUUCUUUUGUUUUUCUUCAUCUACUUUCCUAUUCAAGAAUUUCAAGUUUGGUUUGGGGAAAUCUUUGUUGUGCAAGUUAGAUUGCUAUUGUUUUAGGGAAAUUGUGAGUCAGUGGGUGUUUCUCCAGCAAAGUGAUUGUUUCGAGGUUACUAGGAUCAUCACCUUUGGAAGUACUCUAAAAUAUAACCAGGAGUG